GAUGAACGCUGGCGGCGUGCCUAAUACAUGCAAGUCGAGCGAACAGACGAGGAGCUUGCUCCUCUGACGUUAGCGGCGGACGGGUGAGUAACACGUGGAUAACCUACCUAUAAGACUGGGAUAACUUCGGGAAUCCGGAGCUAAUCCCGUAUAAUAUAUUGAACCGCAUGGUUCAAUAGUGAAAGUCGGUUUUGCUGUCACUUAUAGAUGGAUCCGCGCCGCAUUAGCUAGUUGGUAAGGUAACGGCUUACCAAGGCAACGAUGCGUAGCCGACCUGAGAGGGUGAUAGGCCACACUGGAACUGAGACACGGUCCAGACUCCUACGGGAGGCAGCAGUAGGGAAUCUUCCGCAAUGGGCGAAAGCAUGACGGAGCAACGCCGCGUGAGUGAUGAAGGUCUUCGGAUCGUAAAACUCUGUUAUUAGGGAAGAACAAAUGUGUAAGUAACUAUGCACGUCUUGACGGUACCUAAUCAGAAAGCCACGGCUAACUACGUG
rnacentral:rRNA from 1 species